CUAAGAUCUUGUUAAACUCAUUUAUUUUAAACAUUUUUGUUAUUGUUGAUGAUGAUUCUUCAUAAUGUCCUAUAUACACAAUCAUGUCAUCUCUUCACAAGGACCAUUUUAUUAAUGCCUUCUAAUAUAUGUAUCUUUUAUUUCAUUUUUCUUUUCUUCUUGCACAGGCUAGACCCUCCACUAUAACACUGAAUAGAAUUAGAGAAAACAGCUAUCUUGCCUUGUUCUCUAUCAUAGAAGGAAGCAUUCAGAAUUCCACUACUAAGUAUAAUGGUCACGUGCCAUAGAUGGAGCAGAGUGAAGCAAGAUAAAGCCUGUUGAUUUUUCAAUUCUUGUAGUUUUCCUAAGCUUGCAGGCCUUCAGAUUUAGAGUGGAAAUAUACUGUCAUCUCUCCUGUGUCUCCAGCUUUCCAUGUGACCAUAGAACCUCUCAGACUCCAUAAUCAUAGAAAACUCCAAGUAUUUUUUGCAAGGAAAAGUUGAUGAUACUGAUGAUGAUGGUGAUGGUGAUGGUGGUACUGAUUAGAGUGCUGAUGGUAGUAGUCCUGUAACUUGAACAAGGUUACAGGACAAGUAGAAUAUGGCAGAGAUGGAAUUUGAACCCAAGCAAUCAAAUUCAAAAGACUAUACUCUAAAGCAAUGGCACUCAGGGAGUGAUCCAUCAGUGCCUGUGCACAACAAGGUCCACAACCUGGCAUUUAGUGGUAGGCCUGGAGCUGCUCUUGGUCAACAGUGUCAGAAGUUGGGAAGAAGAGCUGCAUAUCAAGCAGAAGAGAAUGAGAAGAAACAGGAACCCACUUCUGCAUCUGUCUAUAGCAACAUCUGACUAUAACGACCUUCAAAAGAUAAUGGCUGUUGCUUCAUUUCCAACCCUCCAAAUCUCAAGCAAGUAUAUCUUUGGGCCAACUGUAACCUAUAACUCUAUAGGGAAGAGGUUUCUGAGAACUCUGUGUCACAGCUUAACCAUACAAAGACAAUACAAACCAUCCCGAUGAUGAUGAUGGUUGGUAAUAAUGAAGAAAAUAAUAUGAGUGUUUUCUCAAGGAAGGCUACUUCUUGAUGGCAGUUCUGGGAGACAUAAGAGAAGUUUUAUUUUUACCCAAAUGGUUGGUAAAUAAAUUACUGUGUGACAUGACAGAGUUCAAGUUAUAUGAUAUAGUAGAUUCACAUUAUGCCAAAAACUAUAAGACUCCCAGACACAGCCCAGGAAUUCAUUUUGAGAGCUAUCAUAGGCUUCUGAAUGUGCUACCAUCUAUGCUCUUAAUUUAAACCUUAAUUUGCUGUGUGGACGACAGACUACUCUGAAAACAACCCCAAAUGCUUCAGUGCAGGACUAUGUGUCGUGGAUAAAGUAACAAAAUUACAUAUUCAACCCAUUAUGGCCAUCCUCUUGUAUGGAAGAUGUAGAUUGUUACCAAUAUUUAACUCUUAUAAUUAACUUGAAUAAAUUUCCUUACAAAAUAAAUAUGUACACUUGUAAAUAUUCCAUUAUAGUAUCUUUCUUAGUGUAGAUAUCCUGGAGUAAAAGAAAAAUAUUUACAAAACAAGGUAACAAUUUUUAAAGCAAAAUAUCUAUUAUCAAAUUGUUCUCCAGAUAGGUAUUACCAAUUACACACCCACCAGCCCAGCAGUGUGAAAAUAUCACAUCUCCCACACCCCCAUCCACACCCACGUGGAAAAUUAUUAUUAAAAAUUAAUUUUUACCAACUUGAGAGGGAAAUGGUCCUAUUUUAAUUUUUUCAGGGGUGGAUUCAUAUGUUUACUAGAUAUGUAUAUGUAUCCUUCUAUGAGAUACUUGUUAGGUUAUUUCCCAUUUCUGUGUUGUGGCAUUAAUUUCUUUUUCUUGUUAAUAAUGCUCCCGAAGUUUUAUGUCAGUCUUUUCAUUUGUUUAUAGUAUUUUAUGGCAAAGGAUUUUCUUAAUUAAGUGGUUGUAGUCAAAUCUGCUAGUUUUUAUCUUUGUUUUCAGUUUGCAAUGUCAUGUAUAGACAUGCCUAUCUACCACCGAAAGUAUUUUAAAAAGCAAUGUGUAGGUUUUCUACUUUUGAAGAAUGUGCGUUUUCUACUUUUGAAGUAUGUGCAUUUUCUACCAAAGUCUUUAGUUUGUUUGAUAUGUGCAAUGAAGAAAAAUAUCUAACAAUACCUUAACUUUUCUCGAAUAAUAUUCCAAUUAUCCUAAUAUCCUUUGUGACUUAAACUUCCUAUUCUGACUUAAAAAGACUUUUAUCAUAAGUGCUCUACUUAAUCAUAGCCUUAGCACAUAGUGUGAGUCCUAGAGUCAGACUACAAGGUAAUUACUGUCACUUACAAGCUGUGUGACCUUAAGUGAUUUAAUUUAAUCAUCCUGUGACUAAGUUUUCUAAUCUGUAAAAUUGGAAUAAUGUGAGGAUAAAAUUAUCAUAAGGAUUAGCAAGCUGAAUUAACACGUGUAACGCUCAUAGACGACUGCCUGGCACAUAGUGAAUACUCAGGAAAUAUUACUGGUUGUUGUGUAGCGAGGUGUAUAAUGAAACACUGGUACAAUUUCAGAUUUUGGGUUUUGAGGACCGGGCUUAGAGGGUCACCUUGGGGAGAAUCUUGUAGAGUCCCACAUCUACCCUCUGCCUCAAUGAGAUACGAUCCUCCACUUUGAUGAGAUACUACCACUUGGAGAACUUGCUACAUGUCAAUCCCUGCUAUGGAGAAAGUAGACUUUUAUUCUAAUGCAGUAGACUUGAAAUCAUUUGAAUGUGAGAGAAGAGCUGGAGUCAGAAAGAGAUAAAAAGAGGGCCUGAGACUAUGCCUUAAAUUGUUAAUACAUUUAAGGGAUAGAAGAAAGAAAAGGAGAACCGUUAGAGAAGAUAGAAAGAAAUUGUUUCCUGGAUCAAAAACAGUUCUAGACUGGACUGUGUCUCCCACCCCUUUAAAUUCAUGUGUUGAAGCUCUAGCCCUCAAUGGGACUGUAUUUGGAGAUAAGACCUUUAAAGAUGUAAUUAAAGUUAAACGAGGUCAUAAGAGUAGGGCCCUAAUCCAAUAAAGCCUGUGUUCUUAUAAGAAGAGGAAGAGACUUCAAGGAUGCCUGGAAAGGCCAUGUGAGGACACAGCCAGGCAGGGGCCAUCUGCAAGCCAAGAAGAGAGCCCUCAGGAGAAACCACACUUGCUAACACCUGGAUCUUGGCUCUCCAACCUCCAGAAUUGUAAGAAAUAAAUUUCUGUUGUUCUAGCCACCCAGUCUGUGGGAUUUUGUUAUGGCAGCCCUGGCAGACUAAUACAGGAUCCAAGAGAAGAGAGAGUUUGAAAAAGGUGGGAGUGAUUGAUUGUGAGAAGUGCUGCUGAAAACACAACAAUAAAGUAAGCUGAGAACUUAAGUGUCUGUUGGAUCAGGAAAUAAGAAGUCAUUGUUAAUUUUGACAAGAACAUUUUAAUGGACUGAUAGAGGCAGAUUGCAGCGGAUUGAAGACUAAAGAGCAGGAUUCACAUAGAAAAUAUGGCAAUAUUUCAAAUCAUCAAAAUGACAAUAUGGCUGAGUAGGUGUUGUAUAAUGAAUAAAGAACUUCAUAAUUAAAUGCUUAUUCACAACUUUUAGUCUGAACAUCUUUUGCUGUAGGAGAUCUUGCCAAAUUGAUUCCCUUCGUACUUCCCAGUCCAAAUCUAAAUUAGUCACUGCUAUUACAUAUAUGUUACCUUAUCAUUUUUAAAUUGUAGUCUGUAUCAUAGUUACUUAUACUUCUGCAGUUACUUAAUUUUCUCUCUCACGAGGCAGUAAGCAAUGUGAGAACAAGGAUCAUAUUUGGUUUAUUCCAUUAUCUAUGGUUAGAACAUAGUGGACAUUUAAUAUGCAUUAAAUAAAACUAAAAUUCAUUCAACAAUAUGUCAUUAAAAUCUUUACAUGUCAAAUA
rnacentral:lncRNA from 1 species